rnacentral:miRNA from 1 species
AAGAGAUUGUGGUCACUCACCAUU